AAAGGGGGAAAGAAUAGAAAACCCCUAAGGAGGAAAAAUUCAAGAGAAAUUCAUUGGAUUUUCGAAAAAUGAAGCGAUCGGAGGUAAGAUUUCGCAAUUUACCUUAAGAUCUACCUUACCCAUGCUUUCUUUUUCAUUUUCUAUGGUUGAAACUCAAGUUUUCAUGAUGGAAGCAUGCUGGCCGAAUCAAGGGGGGAAGGUUUUGAUGAUGGUUUUUGAUAGAUUUUAGGCUAUCUAGGUGUUUUUAGUGUUUUGUGAUAUUCGGUAUGAAAAACAAGCAAGAAAAUAACAUGUUCUUCAUCAAACCCUAAUUGGUCGAAUUCUAUAGGGAAUAUUUUAAAGAUGAAUUCUGUCAUAUUUCAUGUUAUCUAGCUCGUAUUUGAUGAUUCGUGAUGUCAGAUAUCGAAAACGGUUAUCGAAAAAUAUAGUUCCUUUAGUAAACGACUUGAACGAUAAUGAGAAAAUUAUAGUAAAUGGACUUAGAAUUGAUUUCUAAAGAGGUAUAUGGACUUAUUGGAGUACCAAAAGUGCUAUGAAUCUAUUGGGAGUUGAAUUGGAUGUUUUGGCUUAUUAAACAAUGUAUAGUGCGAGUUAGGUCGAAUACCAUUUCAGUCCAACAAUAAUUGAACCAACGUAGAACACCAUCUUUAAGUGAUUAUUCGAACACUUCUCAUUCAAUUUCAUACAUUCAUAAAGAGCCUAAAAUAGUUUUGUAACAAUUUGGCACAAAUAUAUUGAAUUACUUGUUAUGUAUUAUGUAUAGAUGGUGAGCUCUCUGGUAAGGGUAAGGAUAUCAUACCCGAGGACCAGGAGUAGGAGUACUCCCGUUAUAGUGAGUAACAGACUUUCAUCUUAAGUAUCUAAAGUUGUUUCUACUCGUUUUUAUGUUUUAAAGAAUAAUCAGUUUAAAUUGUAAAUUAUUAUGUUUUAAAAUUAAAGUGUUAGUUAAACAAAAUGAGAUUUAUAACUUGCUUUGAAAUCGAAUACUGGUUUUGAAAAUUGAGUAAGUGGAGACUAUAUGCUUGUGCUAUAUAUAUGUUUUGACAUAUGGUUUGAAUUGAUGACUUAUGACAAUGUGAUGGCAUGAAUGGCUGGAUUUGCGUUUGUGUGGAAUAUAUGAAUUGUUUUGUUUUACCUUGACAAGUUGAGUGAUAUCAUAUUAUCCAUGUCAUGCUGUUGAAUUUUUAUUGAUUUGGUGGGGUAAGUGAUUAGCUUACUGCAGUGGACGGGUUUUCGUGGACCAGCCAAUUAGAGGGGCACGGUAAACCCUGUUAUAUUUUACCUUAGUACAAAAGGCGCGAAGGGUUUCUCCUAAGGUAGUUUAGAGUUCACUUC
rnacentral:lncRNA from 1 species